CUGUACUGUUCCUUUGAAGAACCAGGUUAAGGGGAUCGGUGUACUGUACUAUUCCUUUAAAGAACCAGGUUAAGGUGAUCGGUGUACUGUACUAUUCCUUUAAAGAACCAGGGGAUCGGUGUACUGUACUGUUCCUUUGAAGAACCAGGUUAAGGGGAUCGGUCUACUGUACUAUUCCUUUAAAGAACCAGGUUAAGGGGAUCGGUCUACUGUACUAUUCCUUUAAAGAACCAGGUUAAGGGGAUCGGUCUACUGUACUGUUCCUUUGAAGAACCAGGUUAAGGGGAUCGGUGUACUGUACUAUUCCUUUAAAGAACCAGGUUAAGGGGAUCGGUCUACUGUACUAUUCCUGUAAAGAACCAGGUUAAGGGGAUCGGUGUAAUGUACUAUUCCUUUAAAGAACCAGGUUAAGGGGAUCGGUCUACUGUACUAUUCCUUUAAAGAACCAGGUUAAGGGGAUCGGUCUAC
ensembl:lncRNA